AAAUAUUCUUAAAUUCUUCUUCCGUUGCUUCAGUUAGAUUUGAAAACCCUAAUCUCAAAUCUGGAAAACGGAGAUCGAGCUACGCCCCGAAAGCUUCAAUCUUCUGCCUGCUAUUGAAAGAUGAAGGUCCGUUCAUCAGUGAAGAAGUUGUGUGAGUUUUGUUGGACUGUGAAGCGACGUGGGCGUGUGUAUGUCCUGUGCACCGCUAAUCCCAAGCACAAGCAGCGACAAGGUGUAUCGACCCUUGCUUACGAAGGUCCACUUGUGCCGGAGACAAGUCUGAAAGAGACCUCAGCCCAAAAUGGUCUCCCUGCCCUUAUAGCUAACAAGAACGAGCAGAUGACAGUAACACCGUGGUGGAGAGUUGGUCUCGUUUCGCAUCUCUUCAACCGGAAUGGCAACAAGUAAAAUGCAUGCUGGUCACAUUAUUCAUGUAGGCUUCAUUUGCUCUAAAUAACAAGAUUAACUGUUCUUGAGGUUUUACAUAGGUUUCUUAGAGUCUGUGGUUUGUUAAGUAUCACAGUGAACCAACCCCUCUACUUGACAUCCCAUUCUCCAAACUUGGGUCUCAUUUCUGCAACACUUAAAUAUAUCAUAUCCCAACUCCA